UUUUAAUUUUAUUAAAUUUAUUUCAUCUAAUGAAAAAAUAAUGCUCAACUUCUGCAUUUACUAUCCACCAGAUGUUUGGGAGAUGCAGUCCGACGAUCCCUUUUCUCAGUAUUUAUGUUUAUUGCACUUCACACUCACAAUGAAGCUUUCGAAUUCUAUUUGGCCAUUUGGUUCACAACCACCGAACCUUUCUCGUGGAUCCGUAACUCACUUCAUUUUUAAUGCAGUUUUGUGAAAAUUUCUGUCAUUCAGUGUGGGUUGUAUUUAUACUAGUUUUUUCAGAUAAGCUGGAAAUACCACCAUUAAUCACUGAAGAUACUCCCGCUGAUUUUGAAGAACUUACGGUGAUUGUUUUUGAAAGUGAGGCGCUUUGCCAUAAAAUGUUGCAAAGACUUGAAACAAAUACAAAUAAUAUGUGCGAAACAAAAGAAAUUCUAAAGGAAACGAGUGAACAAAUCUCCAACAUGAAAACGUCAUCAAAUCUGACAAAUCAAAAAGAAAACAGUAAUAGAAGAUAUGCCGCCAGACCACAGCUAAACAACU